CAGUAGCCGCGGGAAUACAGAGGUCUCAAGCGUUGUUCGGAAUCACUGGGCGUAAAGGGUGCGUAGGUGGCGUGGUAAGUCAGAUGUGAAAGCCCGGGGCUCAACCUCGGAAUUGCAUCCGAUACUACCAUGCUAGAGUACUGAAGAGGUGACUAGAAUUCUCGGUGUAGCAGUGAAAUGCGUAGAUAUCGAGAGGAAUACCAAAGGCGAAGGCAGGUCACUGGGCAGUUACUGACACUGAGGCACGAAGGCUAGGGGAGCAAACGGGAUUAGAUACCCCAGUAGUCCCUGUCUCUUAUAA
rnacentral:rRNA from 1 species